CCUACGGGAGGCAGCAGUGGGGAAUCUUGCGCAAUGGGCGAAAGCCUGACGCAGCAACGCCGCGUGCGGGAAGAAGGCCUUCGGGUUGUAAACCGCUUUCAGCAGGAACGAAAAUGACGGUACCUGCAGAAGAAGGAGCGGCCAACUACGUGCCAGCAGCCGCGGUGACACGUAGGCUCCAAGCGUUGUCCGGAUUUAUUGGGCGUAAAGAGCUCGUAGGCGGUUCAGUAAGUCGGGUGUGAAAACUCUGGGCUCAACCCAGAGCCUGCAUUCGAAACUGCUGUGACUAGAGUUUGGUAGGGGAGCGGGGAAUUCCUAGUGUAGCGGUGAAAUGCGCAGAUAUUAGGAGGAACACCGGUGGCGAAAGCGCCGCUCUGGGCCAAUACUGACGCUGAGGAGCGAAAGCGUGGGUAGCAAACAGGAUUAGAUACCCUGGUAGUCCACGCCGUAAACGAUGGGCACUAGGUGUGGGUUUCAACUAACGAAAUCCGUGCCGUCGCUAACGCAUUAAGUGCCCCGCCUGGGGAGGUACGGUCGCGAGACUAAACUACAAUAGAAUUAGUACGGCGUGAGACGUCGCCGAACGGACGACGACCGAGGGGAAGGUAGG
rnacentral:rRNA from 1 species